rnacentral:rRNA from 1 species
GGCCUACACAUGCAAGUCGAGCGGAAACGAGUUAUCAGAACCUUCGGGGGACGAUAACGGCGUCGAGCGGCGGACGGGUGAGUAAUGCCUAGGAAAUUGCCCUGAUGUGGGGGAUAACCAUUGGAAACGAUGGCUAAUACCGCAUGAUGCCUACGGGCCAAAGAGGGGGACCUUCGGGCCUCUCGCGUCAGGAUAUGCCUAGGUGGGAUUAGCUAGUUGGUGAGGUAAGGGCUCACCAAGGCGACGAUCCCUAGCUGGUCUGAGAGGAUGAUCAGCCACACUGGAACUGAGACACGGUCCAGACUCCUACGGGAGGCAGCAGUGGGGAAUAUUGCACAAUGGGCGCAAGCCUGAUGCAGCCAUGCCGCGUGUGUGAAGAAGGCCUUCGGGUUGUAAAGCACUUUCAGUCGUGAGGAAGGUAGUGUAGUUAAUAGCUGCAUUAUUUGACGUUAGCGACAGAAGAAGCACCGGCUAAC